rnacentral:rRNA from 1 species
GACAGAGGGUGCAACCGUUGUUCGGAUUUACUGGGCGUAAAGCGCGUGUAGGCGGCUUUGCAAGUCGGAUGUGAAAGCCCACGGCUCAACCGUGGAAGUGCAUCCGAAACUGCAUGGCUGGAGUCUCGGAGAGGAAGGUGGAAUGCUUGGUGUAGAGGUGAAAUUCGUAGAUAUCAAGCAGAACACCUGCGGCGAAGGCGGCCUUCUGGACGAUGACUGACGCUGAGGCACGAAAGCGUGGGGAUCAAACAGG